UUCUUUUUCUUAAGAAUUAAAUUCCUGGAACUGAAUCUAAGUGAUAUAACUCAAAUGUUCAUCACUACCACUGAGAGGGCAAUGAC
rnacentral:snoRNA from 1 species